AAGCAUGUUCACUUCGCCUCUGAA
rnacentral:siRNA from 1 species